ncrna:unclassified sequences skipping-rope RNA
AGGGAUUGAAGUGGAGAUAAGUGCUGCCACGCACCUUAUAGGUCAAAAGAAAUGCAGGAAAGGGCACCCCUGCCAAUAACC